rnacentral:rRNA from 1 species
UACAGAGGGUGCGAGCGUUAAUCGGAAUUACUGGGCGUAAAGCGUGCGUAGACGGUUAUUUAAGUCGGGUGUGAAAGCCCCGGGCUCAACCUGGGAAUUGCAUUCGAGACUGAAUAGCUAGGGUACGGUAGAGGGAAGCGGAAUUUCCGGUGUAGCGGUGAAAUGCGUAGAUAUCGGAAGGAACGCCGGUGGCGAAAGCGGCCUGCUGGACCUCUUCUGACGUUGAUGCGCGAAAGCCAGGGGAGCAAACGGG